rnacentral:rRNA from 1 species
AAGACUUACCAGGGUUUGACAUGCAAGUGGUAGGAACCGAAAGGCGACGACCCUUCGGGAGGCUUGCACAGGUGCUGCAUGGCUGUCGUCAGCUCGUGUCGUGAGAUGUUCGUUAAGUCCGCUAACGAGCGCAACCCUCGCUGUGUGUUACAAGUGUCACACGGAACUGCCGGUCAUAACCGGGAGGAAGGUGGGGAUGACGUCAAGUCAGCAUGGCCUUUAUAUCCUGGGCUACACACACGCUACAAUGGGAAGGGACAAUAGGUUGCGAAGCCGCGAGGCGGAGCCAAUCCAGCAAAACUUCCCUCAGUUCAGAUUGCAGGCUGCAACUCGCCUGCAUGAAGUUGGAGUUGCUAGUAAACGCAGGUCAGCCAUACUGCGUUGAAUACGUUCCCGGGGCUU